rnacentral:misc_RNA from 1 species
UACAACUGGUAUUAGGACUUUUUUCCUUCAAAUGGUGAAAGACUCUAAUCUAUGCUUCCAAUUUAAUGUUACAUUAUACUUCAACUCUGCAAAGUCUGAAAAGUAAGCAUCUGGGCCUGUAUCUAAUAUAAACACAGAAGACACAUCCAAUAAACCAAUGGGAAAAAAUAACAAAGGAAUAGGAACUCCAAAUUUUGGCAUAAACUAUUACAAAAUGCUUAUUUUCACAUGCUUCUUGGAUUUUCUUUCUCUAUUCUAGUCAACCAUGAGAAGACAACACGAAAAAAAAAGGCAAUUUCUUGGUUAAGACUUGUAUGUAGAACCACAAAAUUACACGAGAUCAACCAGUGACGAUCUUACUGUAAAAAAUUUGGCCAAAAAAAAAUAAGUUACAAUAUUGAAUUGUCUAUAUGAUCCAUUUUUGUUGAAGGAGCCUCAUUACGAUUUCUAGAUGUGUUGCCUGAGUGAAGGGCAUUACGCGUCACACAAUUCACCUGUUUCCUUAGUCUAGCAUUAUCAGUGAAUAUAUUUGCUAGCAUCUUUCUUAACUCAGGAUCUGUUGCCCCCACAUCAUCAUCCUCAGAAGUGGCGAUUUUACCAUCUUCAAAUAAUGCUCGCCCCUGAUAACAUAUAUGUGAGUUAUGAUGAAGAGAGUACCCAACAAUGGUGUAGGCAAGGGAAAGAAAAGAAACCUGAUAUUACAUGUUGAUAUUUAAAACGCAUUUCCCAAAUAAGAAAAAUACAAAAUCAAUAUUUCCAAAUGGGAGCUAUCAUAUCAAGACACCUUGCCUUUGUUGCAUGAUGAGACAGGAUGCACAGAAUUAUUAGUCAAACAAGGGCAAUAAAUGGAUAAUGCAUCCAUGCUCCCUUUGGCAAACACACAAUGCCAUAUUUUUGAUAAAAACCCUAACACCGGACAACAUUGUUUAAAGAUGACAAGCAGAGUAGAAAAAUUAGAAGUACCUCUGCUACCAGACGGCCAAUUUGAUCAUCAGAUGUAGACAACAAAUCUAAAGCAACUGCAACUGAGGAUUCCACGAUAAAUUUAUCAUCCUCCUUGCUAGACAAAUAAAGGUUGCACUCUUUAAGCUGGUUGCAGAGAGUCCAGCAGUAAUGUACCAGCUUUUUUCGAGCAUCUUUCUCCUGCAUAAUCAUUUCUCUUUCCUCCUGAAGAAGUUUCUCAACUUCAGAUUUCUCUUUCAGUGAUUGACUAAGUUUCUCCUUCAGUUCUGCCUGUGAACUUUUGAGGGAUUUGAAUUCUUUAGCCAGAAAUUUAAUAUCUGCUUUUGAUUUUGCUUCUAGCUCCUCAUACUGUUUUGACAAAUUCUCAAGCUCCUUUCUAGUAGCAUCCAACUCCUGCAAUGCUGUAUCUUUCUCCUGAUCAGUGGACCCCAUUUUUAAUCCUGCACUUGAAUUUUCAUCCUGUAAUAAUUACACAGUAUAAAUUCAAUAUAUUGUAAAAGAAAAAACAACAUUCCCUCCAACAAAUUGAUAUCACAUGUAGAACUUUGAAAAGAAAACUACUGAAGGCAAUAAAAAAAAAAAAGGAAGUAGAAGA